rnacentral:rRNA from 1 species
AUUGAACGCUGGCGGCAGGCCUAACACAUGCAAGUCGAGCGGAUCGCCGGACGGGUGAGUAAUGCCUAUGAAUCUGCCUGUUCCUGGGGGAUAACGUCCGGUACCGGGCGCUAAUACCGCUUCCUCUCACCUUCGCCUAGGGCGGAUUAGCUAGUUGGUGGGGUAAAGGCCUACCAAGACGACGAUCCGUAACUGGUCUGAGAGGAUGAUCAGUCACACGGGAACUGAGACACGGUCCAGACUCCUACGGGAGGCAGAAGUGGGGAAGAUUGGACAAUGGGCGAAAGCCUGAUGCAGCCAUGCCGCGUGUGUGAAGAAGGUCUUCGGGUUGUAAAGCACUUUAAGUUGGGAGGCGUUACCAACAGAAUAAGCACCGGCUAACUUCGUGCCAGCAGCCGCGGUAAUUC